rnacentral:rRNA from 1 species
AUACGUAGGGAGCGAGCGUUGUCCGGAUUUACUGGGCGUAAAGGGCGUGUAGGCGGUCUUGCAAGUCAGAAGUGAAAUUCCUGAGCUCAACUCGGGCGCUGCUUCUGAAACUGCAGGACUUGAGUGCUGGAGGGGAUAGCGGAAUUCCUAGUGGAGCGGUAAAAUGCGCAGAUAUUAGGAAGAACACCGGUGGCGAAGGCGGCUAUCUGGACAGUAACUGACGCUGAGGCGCGAAAAUGUGGGGAGCAAACAGGAUUAGAUACCCUGGUAGUCCACACUGUAAACGAUGAAUGCUAGGUGUAGGAGGUAUCGACCCCUUCUGUGCCGCAGUAAACACAGUAAGCAUUCCGCCUGGGGAGUACGGCCGCAAGGUUGAAACUCAAAGGAAUUGACGGGG